ensembl:lncRNA
AUGCACUCACACUCGCACGGACACAUUCAGACUCACACACACACACAUUCACACUCGUACACAUGCACUCACACUCGCACGGACACAUUCAGACUGACACUCACACUCGUACGCGCACACACACACACACACACACAUUCACACUCGCACGGACACAUUCAGACUCACACUCGUACGCACACACACACACACAAUCACACUCGUACGCAUGCACUCACACUCGCACGGACACAUUCAGACUCACACUCACACUCGUACGCACACACACACACACAAUCACACUCAUACGCACACAUUCACACUCGUACACAUGCACUCACACUCGCACGGACACAUUCACACUCACACUCGUACGCACACAAACACACACUUUCACACUCGUACGCAUGCACUCACACGGACACAUUCAGACUCUCACACUCACACGCACACACACAUUCACACUCGUACGCACACAUUCACACUCGUACACAUGCACUCACACUCAUACGCAUGCACUCACACUCGCACGGACACAUUCACACUCACACUCGUACGCACACAAACACACACUUUAACACUCGUACGCAUGCACUCACACGGACACAUUCAGACUCUCACACUCACACUAGUACGCACACACACACAUACACAUUCACACUCGUACGGACACAUUCAGACCUACACACACACUCUCACACUCACACUCGUACGCAUGCACUCACACUCGUACGCACACACACACAUUCACACUCGUACGCGCACACACACAUUCACACUCGUACGCAUGCACUCACACUCGCACAAACACAUUCAGACUUACACUCACACUCGUACGCGCACACACACACACACACACAUUCACACUCGCACAGACACAUUCAGACUCACACUCGUACGCACACACACACACUCGUACGCGUGCACUCACACUCGCACAGACACAGUCAGACUCACGCUCACACUCGUACGCGCACACACACAUUCACACUCGUACGCGCACACACACAUACACACUCGUAUGCAUGCACACACACUCGCACAAACACAUUCAGACUUACACACACACUCUCACACUCACACUCGUACGCACACGAACACACACAUUCACACUCGUGCGCAUGCACUCACACGGACACAUUCAGACUUACACACACACUCUCACACUCAUACGCACACACACACACACAUUCACACUCGCACGGACACAUUCAGACUCACACACACACUCUCACACUAGCACGCACACACACACAUACACAUUCACACUCGUACGCACACACACACACUCGCACGCACACACUCACACUCACACUCACACUCGUACGCAUGCAAUCACACUCAUACGCACACACACACAUUCACACUCCCACGCAUGCACUCACACUCUCACGCACACACUCACACUCACACUCACACUCGCACACAUGCACUCACACUCUUACGCGCACACACACACAUUCACACUCGUACGCAUGCACACACACUCGCACGAACACAUUCAGACUCACACUCACACUCGUACGCGCACACAAACACACACACACACACACACACACAAACACGCACACAUUCACACUCGUACGCACACGCACACACACACAUUCACACUCGUACGCACACACACACACUCGUACGCGUGCACUCACACUCGCACAGACACAGUCAGACUCACGCUCACACUCGUACGCGCACACACACAUUCACACACGUAUGCAUGCACUCACACUCGCACGGACACAUUCUGACUUACACACACACUCACACACACUCACACGCACACAUUCACACGCGUACGCACACACACACACACAUUCACACUCAUAUGCACACAUUCACACUCGUACGGACACAUGCAGACCUACACACACACUCUCACACUCGUACGCACACACACACACACACACUCGCACGCGCACACACACACUCACACCCACACACACACUCACACGCUCUCUUUCUGACCGACACGCCCACCCCCGCACUCUCCCCCCUACACACGCACGCCCACCCGUACGCACACACACACACAUUCACACACGUACGCGCACACACACACACUCGUACGCACGCACACACACGCCCACAUUCACACUCGUACGCAUGCACCCACACUCGUACGCACACACACACAUACACAUUCACACUCACAUGCACACACUCACACUCGUACGGACACAUUCAGACCCACACACACACUCUCACACUCACACUAGUACGCACACACACAUACACAUUCACACUCGUACGGACACACUCAGACCCACACACACCCUCUCACACUCGUACGCACACACACACACUCACACGCGUACGCGCACGCACACAUCCACACUCGUACGCAUGCACUCACACUAG